rnacentral:rRNA from 1 species
AUACGUAGGUGACAAGCGUUAUCCGGAUUUACUGGGCGUAAAGGGCGUGUAGGCGGUCUUGCAAGUCAGAAGUGAAAUUCCUGAGCUCAACUCGGGCGCUGCUUCUGAAACUGCAGAACUUGAGUGCUGGAGGGGAUAGCGGAAUUCCUAGUGGAGCGGUAAAAUGCGCAGAUAUUAGGAAGAACACCGGUGGCGAAGGCGGCUAUCUGGGCAGAACCUGACGAGGCGUCGCUAAUGCGGGGGGAGAAAACAGGCUUAGUUACCCUGGGAGCCCAGGCCAUAAACAAUGAAUACUAGGUGUAGUGGGUAUCGACUCCCGCUGUGCCGCAGGUAACACAAUAAGUAUUCCGCCUGGGGAGUACGGCCGCAAGGUUGAAACUCAAAGGAAUUGGCGGGG